GAGUUUGAUCCUGGCUCAGAACGAACGCUGGCGGCGUGGAUAAGACAUGCAAGUCGAACGGGAUUUUCUUUGGUAGCAAUACCGAAGAAAGUCUAGUGGCGAACGGGUGCGUAACACGUGGGCAAUCUGCCUUAAAGUGGGGGAUAGCUCGGCGAAAGCCGGAUUAAUACCGCAUGUGAUCAGGGGAGACAUCUUCCCAAAAUCAAAGUCGGGGCAACCUGACGCUUUUUGAGGAGCCCGCGGCCUAUCAGCUAGUUGGUGAGGUAACGGCUCACCAAGGCUUUGACGGGUAGCUGGUCUGAGAGGACGACCAGUCACACUGGAACUGAGACACGGUCCAGACACCUACGGGUGGCAGCAGUCGAGAAUUUUUCUCAAUGGGGGAAACCCUGAAGGAGC
rnacentral:rRNA from 1 species